ensembl:lncRNA
AACUCAGAAUUGUGAAAUUGAGAAAGUGAAUUACCAGAUAAAAUUUCUGGAAAAAAACUCAGUAUUACAAGAUUUCAAUGUAAACUUGGAAUUGUGAAGAAAAAGUCAGAAUUGCGAGAUGUAAACUCAGAAUUCAGGGAAAAUGAACUGUGAUAUAUAAACUCAGAAUUGCAAGACAAACUCAAAAUUCAGAGAAAAAAAAUUAAUAUUGAUAUAUAAAUUCAAAAUUGCGAUAUAUGAACUGAGAAUUGUUAGAAAAACAUCAGAAUUGUGAAAUGUAAAUGCGCGAUUAAGUUUAUUACUCGCAAUUGCAAAAUAUAAACUUUCAAUUAUGAGAAAAACAGGCAGAAUUGUGAAAAAAGUGACAAUUACCUUUUUUUAAUUACGUGGCAGAAACAGACACCUAGUAAAUGAUAAAGAAUGUUAAUUUUUGGGUGUAAUGUCCCUUUAAGAUGAGCAUGUUGCUUUGACUGAGACUCACUGAAGGAUCUGACAUUUUCUCCAGAUUUGAUGCUGUUUCUCUCUCAGUGCGGGAGGUCCAUGGCCUGUGUCUCCGACGACUGAGCUUCUCCAGCAUCUGUGACGUGUUAGCACUGAGUAACUCAGAAAUGACAUUAUCAUGUUCAGCUGUUAACGAAAGCAUCCCUUCUCAUCAUAUCUCCACAUAUCUGUGUGAAAGCAGCACAUCUGAAAUCUAAUAUUCAGAUUGAAGAGCGACUGGAGGUCACACCACACACUCACUUCUGCUUCAUCAGUUGCUCUUAAACAGCUACUGUAUGAGUGAACCAGCGGCAGGGUCACCAACACAGGGAGAACACCAGCGGCGUUCAUGCCAGAGGAGCGUUAUGUCCGCUGUGAACCAGCUUUGACAAAUGCUGUCAAUUAUCGUCUGCACAUGUCCAAACAUUCAGCAGGCCAUGAGCCAUGCACUCGUCUGCUAAUCAUUAAAAUAUGACUGGCAUUUUUAUAUGAGAGCGGCUGGAAUCUGCGGUUCAUCUUGGCCUGAAUAUGACGGAGCGCAUCGAAUGGGAAAACAGAGCUGCUCUUGAUGUUGCGUCAUCUUUGUUCUGAGAUGUCAAGCGUUUCACUAAAACAUUCACAGGGAAGUAUUAGUUCAUAAACCAACAUGCACUGCCUGGAAAUAAUCUGACCUGCUAAUUAAAACAUCUGAAGCCAACAUUUCCAGCCCUGCAUUCUUCUGAUUAAAUAGUUCACAGCUGAUGUGAAACACGCACCUGUGAUUAGAAUUACGAGAUGAACUCUUGUACUCAAACUCAGAAAUUAUUAUAAAAUGGCAAAACUAAUUAUGUCCAAAUGGAUCCAAGCACUUCAAACAGUUCCAGAUUCUCAGAUCUUGAUGCAAAAUUUAUAACUACUACAUUAAUUUAUCGCUAUAUUAUAUUGCAAAGUGAAUAAGAACAACAAUUGUCCACACCAAACACUGGCUAAGAUAAAAAAAUAUAUAUAUCUAAAUUAUUUAUUAAUAUAAUUACAAAUCUAAAUCUAAUCUCUCUCUCUCUCACACACACACACACACACACACACACACAUAGACACACACACACACACACACACACACACACACACACACACACACACACACACACACACACACACAUAUAUAUAUAACACUAUAUUAUAUUAUAAUAUGAAUUAUAUCAUAUAUUUAUACAAUAUACAAUACAUAUUUUUUAUUAUAUAAAUAUAUGAUUUAAUUGAUAUAUAUAUAUUUAUAGUAAACACUUUUUUUAAAAAAAUAAUUUAUAC